rnacentral:rRNA from 1 species
AGAGUUUGAUCCUGGCUCAGGACGAACGCUGGCGGCGUGCUUAACACAUGCAAGUCGAACGGAAAGGCCCUGCUUUUGUGGGGUGCUCGAGUGGCGAACGGGUGAGUAACACGUGAGUAACCUGCCCUUGACUUUGGGAUAACUUCAGGAAACUGGGGCUAAUACCGGAUAGGAGCUCCUGCUGCAUGGUGGGGGUUGGAAAGUUUCGGCGGUUGGGGAUGGACUCGCGGCUUAUCAGCUUGUUGGUGGGGUAGUGGCUUACCAAGGCUUUGACGGGUAGCCGGCCUGAGAGGGUGACCGGCCACAUUGGGACUGAGAUACGGCCCAGACUCCUACGGGAGGCAGCAGUGGGGAAUAUUGCACAAUGGGCGGAAGCCUGAUGCAGCAACGCCGCGUGCGGGAUGACGGCCUUCGGGUUGUAAACCGCUUUCGCCUGUGACGAAGCGUGAGUGACGGUAAUGGGUAAAGAAGCACCGGCUAACUACGUGCCAGCAGCCGCGGUGAUACGUAGGGUGCGAGCGUUGUCCGGAUUUAUUGGGCGUAAAGGGCUCGUAGGUGGUUGAUCGCGUCGGAAGUGUAAUCUUGGGGCUUAACCCUGAGCGUGCUUUCGAUACGGGUUGACUUGAGGAAGGUAGGGGAGAAUGGAAUUCCUGGUGGAGCGGUGGAAUGCGCAGAUAUCAGGAGGAACACCAGUGGCGAAGGCGGUUCUCUGGGCCUUUCCUGACGCUGAGGAGCGAAAGCGUGGGGAGCGAACAGGCUUAGAUACCCUGGUAGUCCACGCUGUAAACGGUGGGUACUAGGUGUGGGGUCCAUUCCACGGGUUCCGUGCCGUAGCUAACGCUUUAAGUACCCCGCCUGGGGAGUACGGCCGCAAGGCUAAAACUCAAAGGAAUUGACGGGGCCCCGCACAAGCGGCGGAGCAUGCGGAUUAAUUCGAUGCAACGCGUAGAACCUUACCUGGGUUUGACAUGGAUCGGGAGUGCUCAGAGAUGGGUGUGCCUCUUUUGGGGUCGGUUCACAGGUGGUGCAUGCCUGUCGUCAGCUCGUGUCGUGAGAUGUUGGGUUAAGUCCCGCAACGAGCGCAACC